UACGUAGGGCGCAAGCGUUAUCCGGAAUUAUUGGGCGUAAAGGGCGCGUAGGCGGCACAGCAAGUCGGGAGUGAAAGCCCGGGGCUCAACCCCGGAAUGGCUUUCGAAACUGCUGAGCUAGAGUACAGAAGGGGCAACCGGAAUUCCCAGUGUAGCGGUGAAAUGCGUAGAUAUUGGGAAGAACACCUGAGGCGAAGGCGGGUUGCUGGGCUGAUACUGACGCUGAGGCGCGAAAGCCAGGGGAGCAAACGGG
rnacentral:rRNA from 1 species